rnacentral:misc_RNA from 1 species
CAAAAUGCGAUAAGUAAUGUGAAUUGCAGAAUUCAGUGAAUCAUCGAAUCUUUGAACGCACAUUGCGCCCGCCAGUAUUCUGGCGGGCAUGCCUGUCCGAGCGUCAUUUCAACCAUCAAGCCCCCGGGCUUGUGUUGGGGACCUGCGGCUGCCCGCAGGCCCUGAAAACCAGUGGCGGGCUCGCUGUCACACCGAGCGUAGUAGCAAUCACCUCGCUCAGGGCGUGCUGCGGGUUCCGGCCGUUAAACAGCCUUACAAAACCCAAGGUUGACCUCGGAUCAGGUAGGAAGACCCGCUGAACUUAAGC